UACGUAGGGUGCAAGCGUUGUUCGGAAUUAUUGGGCGUAAAGAGCUCGUAGGCGGUUUGUCGCGUCUGCUGUGAAAACUCGGGGCUUAACCCCGGGCCUGCAGUGGGUACGGGCAGACUAGAGUGUGGUAGGGGAGACUGGAAUUCCUGGUGUAGCGGUGAAAUGCGCAGAUAUCAGGAGGAACACCGAUGGCGAAGGCAGGUCUCUGGGCCACUACUGACGCUGAGAAGCGAAAGCAUGGGGAGCGAACAGG
rnacentral:rRNA from 1 species